rnacentral:rRNA from 1 species
GACGAACGCUGGCGGCGUGCCUAAUACAUGCAAGUAGAACGCUGAAGGAGGAGCUUGCUCUUCUGGAUGAGUUGCGAACGGGUGAGUAACGCGUAGGUAACCUGCCUGGUAGCGGGGGAUAACUAUUGGAAACGAUAGCUAAUACCGCAUAACAGUAGAUGUUGCAUGACAUUUGCUUAAAAGGUGCAAUUGCACCACUACCAGAUGGACCUGCGUUGUAUUAGCUAGUUGGUGGGGUAACGGCUCACCAAGGCGACGAUACAUAGCCGACCUGAGAGGGUGAUCGGCCACACUGGGACUGAGACACGGCCCAGACUCCUACGGGAGGCAGCAGGAGGGAAUCGUCGGCAAUGGGCGGAAGUCUGACCGAGCAACGCCGCGUGAGUGAAGAAGGUUUUCGGAUCGGAAAGCUCUGUUGUAAGAGAAGAACGAGUGUGAGAGUGGAAAGUUCACACUGUGACGGUAUCUUACCAGAAAGGGACGGCUAACUACGUG